UCAUUUCAUCUGCUUCUUUGUACUCCCUUCCGUUCAUCUUCCUUCAGUCGCUCGGCAUAAUCCGGAACUCUACCAAUCAGGUAAAUUUCUUCUUUUUCCUUUAAUGCCUCCCUUGCAAGCAUAUGAGCUAGACUAUUUGCUUCUCUAGGCGUGUGCUCAAAAUAGUGUCUUUUUUAUUGUAUUAGUAACUGAUGAAUAUCUCGAAUAUAUGCUCCAACCCUUGAUCUGUCAUUUGCUUGUGUUUUGCAUUUCUUAAUGAUUGAAAGUGCAUCACCUUCAAUAAUAAUAUUUGGCCAUUUCAUGUUCAUACCGAUGCGAGUUGCUGUCCUGCAAGCAAUUGCUUCUGUGGCAAAGGCUGAUGCUACUUGGUGAUGAAGCUCUGUAAUAGAUAAAAGGGCGUUUCCUUGACUGUCUCUGGCCACAAUUCCCACUGCCGAUUGUCGAGCAUUUUCAUCAAAGGCUGCGUCAAAGUUAAGCUUUAUAAACUGACCAGAUUGCCCAAAGAGCACAACAAAAUACCCUACGCAUAUUGGGAUUAUUCUGAUCGAAAACCCAGAACACUCAUGAAAAAUGUGAUUUGUGGUUUCUGCUGCUCUACCACACCCAGAACAUGUCGUUUGACUUAGGAGCCUUCUGAAGUGCAGAUUCACCCACGUUGGAAUAUAAUUCCAGGCUAUUCGCCAAAUUGUAAUUUUUAUCUUCGAAGGUAGAUUA